CACGUAGGAGGCGAAACGUUAUCCGGAUUUACUGGGGCGUAAAGCGGCAAUGUAGGUGGUUCUGUAAGUAGGGCGUGAAAGCUCCCGGCUCAACUGGGAGAGGCCGUUUCUAAACUACAGAGCUAGAGGAUGGUAGAGGGAGGUGGAAUUCCGGGUGUAGCGGUGAAAUGCGCAGAUAUCAGGAGGAACACCGGUGGCGAAGGCGGAUCUCUGGGCCGAUACUGACGCUGAGGAGCGAAAGCGUGGGGAGCGAACAGGAUUAGAUACCCCGGUAGUCCCUGAG
rnacentral:rRNA from 1 species